GAUGAAGAACGUAGCGAAAUGCGAUAAGUAGUGUGAAUUGCAGAAUUCAGUGAAUCAUCGAAUCUUUGAACGCACAUUGCGCCCCUUGGUAUCCCGAGGGGCAUGCCUGUUCGAGCGUCAUUUCACCACUCAAGCCUGGCUUGGUGUUGGGCGACGUCCUCUUUGGGGACGCGCCUCGAAACGCUCGGCGGCGUGGCACCGGCUUUAAGCGUAGCAGAAUCUUUCGCUUUGGAAGUCGGGGCCCCGUCUGCCGGAAGACCUGCUCGCAAGGUUGACCUCGGAUCAGGCAGGGAUACCCGCUGAACUUAAGCAUAUCAUAGCGGAGGA
rnacentral:misc_RNA from 1 species